rnacentral:rRNA from 1 species
GAUUAACGCUAGCGGCAGGCCUAAUACAUGCAAGUCGAGGGGCAGCAGGGUGUAGCAAUACAUCGCUGGCGACCGGCGCACGGGUGCGUAACACGUAUGCAACCUACCUUUAACUGGGGAAUAGCCCUCCGAAAGGAGGAUUAACACCGCAUAACAUCACGAGACGGCAUCGCCUUGUGAUCAAACCUCCGGGGGUUAAAGAUGGGCAUGCGUCCGAUUAGCUAGUUGGCGGGGUAACGGCCACCAAGGCGACGAUCGGUAGGGGGUCUGAGAGGAUGAUCCCCCAACUGGUACUGAGACACGGACCAGACUCCUACGGGAGGCAGCAGUAAGGAAUAUUGGACAAUGGUCGCAAGACUGAUCCAGCCAUGCCGCGUGCAGGAUGAACGAUCUAUGAUCUGUAAACUGCUUUUGUUCGGGAAUAAACCCCUUCACGUGUGGAGGGCUGAAUGUACCGAAAG